ACGAACGCUAGCGGCGUGCUUUAAGCAUGCAAGUUAGAGCGAAACUGUAGCAAUACAGUAAGCUGCGAACGGCUGAGUAACACGUAAGAAUCUACCUUUUGGUGGUGAAUACCUCGUCGAAAAGACGAGCUAAUACAGCAUAAGAUCUCCGGAUGAAAGGGCUUUUACCGCCCGCCGAAAAGAGGAGCUUGCGGGCCUAUCAGAUAGUUGGUGGGGUAAUGGCCUACCAAGUCAGCGACGGGUAGGGGACGUGAGGAGGCGUUGACCCCUCAGAACGGGACUGAGACACGGCCCGUACACCUACGGGGUGGCAGCAAACUGGGAAAUCGUGCGCAAUGGACGAAAGUCUGACGCCGCGACGCCGCGUGAAGGAUGAAGGGCCCCUAGGGUCGUAAACUUCUUUUGCCAAGGUCGAGAAGCCUUGGAGAAUAAGCACCGGCUAACUCUGUGCCAGCAGCAGGUAGGCGGGUUAAUACAGAGGGUGCAAGCGUUGUCCGGAUUUAAUUGGGCGUAAAGAGUCCGUAGGCUUUCUAUUAAGUCAUCUUUCAAAGACCGGGGCUCAACUUCGGGAAGGGGGGAUGAUACUGGUAGAAUUGAAAGGUUUCGGGGUUACUGGAACUGUCGGUUGUAGGAGUGAAAUCCGUUGAUUAUCGACAGGAACACCAAGGGCGAAGGCGGGGUAACUAGGAACACUUUUGACGCUGAGGGACCGAAAAGCUAGGGGAGCGAGAAAGGGAAUUAAGAGACCCCUGUAGUCCUAGCCGUAAACGAUGCUCGCUAGGGAUGGGAACUUCGGUUUCCGUUCCGUAAGCUAACGCGUGAAAGCGAGCCCGCCUGGGGGAGUACGAACGCAAGUUUUAAAACUCAAAGGAAUUGAACGGGGACCCGCACAACCAGUGGAGCAUGUGGUUUUAAUUCGAGACGAACCGAAGAACCUUACCGGGGUUUUGACAUUCUAGAUGCAACGCCGUAAGAGAUUAUGGCUUCUUCGAGAGUGCUAGAACAGGUGUUGCAUGGCUGUCGUCAGCUCGUGCCGUGGGGUGUUCCCUUCAGUGGGGUAACGAGCGCAACCCCUGCCGUAUGUUAAAUUAUUCAUACGGGACUACCUAAUUUAUUUAGGAGGAAGCGGGGACGAUGUCAAGUCAGCAUGGCCCUUAUGUCCCGGGCGAACACACAUGCUACAAUUGGCGCACACAAAGGGUUUGCCAAGCAGUAAAUGCGGGAGCUAAUCCCAAAAAAAUUGCGUCUCAGUGGGGAUUGGGGGCUGAAACUCGCCCCCAUGAACGCGGGAAUUGGUAGUAAUCGCGAAUCAGCCAAGUCGCGGUGAAUACGUUCUCGGGUCUUGUACACACCGCCCGUCAAGUGAGCAAAGUUAGGGGGUACCCGAAUUCCUGUAGUAACAGGAGCAAGGUGAAACUAGCGAUGAGCACU
rnacentral:rRNA from 1 species